GACGAACGCUGGCGGCGUGCUUAACACAUGCAAGUCGAACGGAAAGGCCCUGCUUUUGUGGGGUGCUCGAGUGGCGAACGGGUGAGUAACACGUGAGUAACCUGCCCUUGACUUUGGGAUAACUUCAGGAAACUGGGGCUAAUACCGGAUAGGAGCUCCUGCUGCAUGGUGGGGGUUGGAAAGUUUCGGCGGUUGGGGAUGGACUCGCGGCUUAUCAGCUUGUUGGCGGGGUAGUGGCUUACCAAGGCUUUGACGGGUAGCCGGCCUGAGAGGGUGACCGGCCACAUUGGGACUGAGAUACGGCCAAGACUCCUACGGGAGGCAGCAGUGGGGAAUAUUGCACAAUGGGCGGAAGCCUGAUGCAGCAACGCCGCGUGCGGGAUGACGGCCUUCGGGUUGUAAACCGCUUUCGCCUGUGACGAAGCGUGAGUGACGGUAAUGGGUAAAGAAGCACCGGCUAACUACGUG
rnacentral:rRNA from 1 species